rnacentral:rRNA from 1 species
CUUCCGGAGCUAACGCGUUAAGUAGACCGCCUGGGGAGUACGGCCGCAAGGUUAAAACUCAAAUGAAUUGACGGGGGCCCGCACAAGCGGUGGAGCAUGUGGUUUAAUUCGAUGCAACGCGAAGAACCUUACCUGGUCUUGACAUCCACAGAACUUUCCAGAGAUGGAUUGGUGCCUUCGGGAACUGUGAGACAGGUGCUGCAUGGCUGUCGUCAGCUCGUGUUGUGAAAUGUUGGGUUAAGUCCCGCAACGAGCGCAACCCUUAUCCUUUGUUGCCAGCGRUUAGGYCGGGAACUCAAAGGAGACUGCCAGUGAUAAACUGGAGGAAGGUGGGGAUGACGUCAAGUCAUCAUGGCCCUUACGACCAGGGCUACACACGUGCUACAAUGGCGCAUACAAAGAGAAGCGACCUCGCGAGAGCAAGCGGACCUCAU